GUUGAUCACAGGGCUGUGAGUUCGAGCCCCACGUAAAAAAAGGAUACUGCUUCCCACUUACUCUUAGUCAAAAGGCCAAGAAGCAGUGAAAGAACCAGUGGAAGAUAUUGCUUCUCAAACCAAUGCAAGUAAACAUCCAGGAGAGAGGUUGUAGGAUAUGUCAUUUUUGUCUGAUGUCUAUGGUGUCCUUUGGUAAUGCA
rnacentral:lncRNA from 1 species